rnacentral:rRNA from 1 species
GAUGAACGCUGGCGGCGUGCCUAAUACAUGCAAGUCGAGCGAACGGACGAGAAGCUUGCUUCUCUGAUGUUAGCGGCGGACGGGUGAGUAACACGUGGAUAACCUACCUAUAAGACUGGGAUAACUUCGGGAAACCGGAGCUAAUACCGGAUAAUAUUUUGAACCGCAUGGUUCAAAAGUGAAAGACGGUCUUGCUGUCACUUAUAGAUGGAUCCGCGCUGCAUUAGCUAGUUGGUAAGGUAACGGCUUACCAAGGCAACGAUGCAUAGCCGACCUGAGAGGGUGAUCGGCCACACUGGAACUGAGACACGGUCCAGACUCCUACGGGAGGCAGCAGUAGGGAAUCUUCCGCAAUGGGCGAAAGCCUGACGGAGCAACGCCGCGUGAGUGAUGAAGGUCUUCGGAUCGUAAAACUCUGUUAUUAGGGAAGAACAUAUGUGUAAGUAACUGUGCACAUCUUGACGGUACCUAAUCAGAAAGCCACGGCUAACUACGUGCCAGCAGCCGCGGUAAUACGUAGGUGGCAAGCGUUAUCCGGAAUUAUUGGGCGUAAAGCGCGCGUAGGCGGUUUUUUAAGUCUGAUGUGAAAGCCCACGGCUCAACCGUGGAGGGUCAUUGGAAACUGGAAAACUUGAGUGCAGAAGAGGAAAGUGGUAUUCCAUGUGUAGCGGUGAAAUGCGCAGAGAUAUGGAGGAACACCAGUGGCGAAGGCGACUUUCUGGUCUGUAACUGACGCUGAUGUGCGAAAGCGUGGGGAUCAAACAGGAUUAGAUACCCUGGUAGUCCACGCCGUAAACGAUGAGUGCUAAGUGUUAGGGGGUUUCCGCCCCUUAGUGCUGCAGCUAACGCAUUAAGCACUCCGCCUGGGGAGUACGACCGCAAGGUUGAAACUCAAAGGAAUUGACGGGGACCCGCACAAGCGGUGGAGCAUGUGGUUUAAUUCGAAGCAACGCGAAGAACCUUACCAAAUCUUGACAUCCUUUGACAACUCUAGAGAUAGAGCUUUCCCCUUCGGGGGACAAAGUGACAGGUGGUGCAUGGUUGUCGUCAGCUCGUGUCGUGAGAUGUUGGGUUAAGUCCCGCAACGAGCGCAACCCUUAAGCUUAGUUGCCAUCAUUAAGUUGGGCACUCUAAGUUGACUGCCGGUGACAAACCGGAGGAAGGUGGGGAUGACGUCAAAUCAUCAUGCCCCUUAUGAUUUGGGCUACACACGUGCUACAAUGGACAAUACAAAGGGCAGCGAAACCGCGAGGUCAAGCAAAUCCCAUAAAGUUGUUCUCAGUUCGGAUUGUAGUCUGCAACUCGACUACAUGAAGCUGGAAUCGCUAGUAAUCGUAGAUCAGCAUGCUACGGUGAAUACGUUCCCGGGUCU